rnacentral:rRNA from 1 species
GACGAACGCUGGCGGCGCGCUUAACACAUGCAAGUCGAACGGAAAGGCCUGCUUUCCCUUGUGGAUUGCGGGUACUCGAGUGGCGAACGGGUGAGUAACACGUGAGUGAUCUGCCCCCAACUUGGGUAUAAGCCUGGGAAACUGGGUCUAAUUCCCGAUAGGACUGCAGGGUGGUGCCUGUGGUGGAAAACGAUUUUCUAGUGGUUGGGGAUGAGCUCGCGGCCUAUCAGCUUGUUGGUGGGGUAAUGGCCUACCAAGGCGGCGGCGGGUAGCCGGCCUGAGAGGGUGGACGGCCACAUUGGGACUGAGAUACGGCCCAGACUCCUACGGGAGGCAGCAGUGGGGAAUAUUGCACAAUGGGCGGAAGCCUGAUGCAGCGACGCCGCGUGGGGGAUGACGGCCUUCGGGUGGUAAACUCCUUUCGACCGCGAGGAAGCCACCUGGUUGGAAGGGUGGUGACGGUAGUGGUAGAAGAAGCACCGGCUAACUACGUG